GUCUACAGUGAUACCACCCUGAAAGUACCCAGUCUCGUCUGAUCUCGUAAGCUAAGCAGGGUUGGGCCUGCUUAGUAUUUGGAUAGGAGUAUACCUGUGUUUGUGUUUU
rnacentral:rRNA from 1 species